UUUCUCUAAAAGAAAAAAAAAAUUACAAUGUCAUCAUCCAAAAUUGUCAUAGUUUGUAUCAUCCUCGUUUCACUUGCUAAUCUUCAUGAAUGUAGUUUAUUUAAAAGUGACAAGCCAUUGACAAAUCCGUUCACAGGAGAAAGGACAGGAAAACCGCCAUGCAAACCAGGAAAAAAAAACUAUUUGGUCUGCACUCACAAUGCGGCCAUUGAUAAUAUAGAAAAUGUCAGAGACUGUUGGUUCCUUUGCCCAAAAAGCUAAUUUGACCCAACAUCUCCUUUUCAAGGAUUUAUAAAAUUUGAAGACCAUUUUAUACACCAAUUUUUUUCUUUAAUAUAUAAAUAGUAAAUAUUCAUGUUACUACACUAAAGAAAAUUAUACAUACACCUUAGUAUUGCUUCGUAACUUUUAAACUCUUUUAUUUACUCUAUUUUAUGUUUGUAUUAUUUAAAAGUGAGCGUUGCUCCUGUAUUGAUUUUUUGGUGAUAGAUGAAUUCAUAAAAUCUGCUUCAGUGCCAUGUAUCAAAAUCCUCAAACUGAAGCUAAUACAUUCUUUAUUCUAGAACAAGAAAAUGUCUCGCCGAUGCAAGAAAUAUGAAAAACAAA